rnacentral:tRNA from 1 species
GCUCCAGUGGCGCAAUUGGUUAGCGCGCGAUACUCAUAAUGCCGAGGUUGUGGGUUCGAGCCUCACCUGGUGCA